ACGGGUGAGUAACGCGUGGGAAUCUACCCAUCUCUACGGAACAACUCCGGGAAACUGGAGCUAAUACCGUAUACGUCCUUCGGGAGAAAGAUUUAUCGGAGAUGGAUGAGCCCGCGUUGGAUUAGCUAGUUGGUGGGGUAAUGGCCUACCAAGGCGACGAUCCAUAGCUGGUCUGAGAGGAUGAUCAGCCACACUGGGACUGAGACACGGCCCAGACUCCUACGGGAGGCAGCAGUGGGGAAUAUUGGACAAUGGGCGCAAGCCUGAUCCAGCCAUGCCGCGUGAGUGAUGAAGGCCCUAGGGUUGUAAAGCUCUUUCAACGGUGAAGAUAAUGACGGUAACCGUAGAAGAAGCCCCGGCUAACUUCGUGCCAGCAGCCGCGGUAAUACGAAGGGGGCUAGCGUUGUUCGGAAUUACUGGGCGUAAAGCGCACGUAGGCGGAUACUUAAGUCAGGGGUGAAAUCCCGGGGCUCAACCCCGGAACUGCCUUUGAUACUGGGUAUCUCGAGUCCGGAAGAGGUGAGUGGAAUUCCGAGUGUAGAGGUGAAAUUCGUGGA
rnacentral:rRNA from 1 species